UUGCCUUCAUCUUUAGAUUAAAAAAAAAAAGGGGGCAGAAUUGAGAGGGAGAAACACAAGCACAAGAACAUCGAAUAAAGUAGAAACCCAGGCAGUGAGAACCAAAAAAAACUGAGAGGCAGAGCACGAACCGAAACAGAGGAGGCCAGGAACCAGAGAAGAAAAUAAGGGGGAAUUGGGCCGAAAAUCAGAGGAAGAAAUAGAAUCAGGAGGGGAAUUUUUGAUGAACAGGACAAGAACAGAGGACGUGCGGAAGACGAGGAACGCACGGUGAAAAAACAAAAAAACACAGAGCAAAUACCCAGACCUAAAUUUGAAAGGAGAAGCCAGCACUGUCCUUUGUUCUUCAUCACAAGGACUGAGAAACAGACAGAGAAGGAGAGAAAGGCAAAGGAGAGCCUCAGAUCAGCCCUGCCAUUGUCUUCGUCCCUGCAGAAAAAGAACAACAAAGAACCAAAGACUAUUGACAACCGGCAUCACCAUUGUCUACUUGCCUUCAUCUCAAAACCAGAGGGGACAGAAC